CGGCAAUGAAGAUUACAAAUCCGUGUUUCAGACAAGCGAUUGAUGAUUGAAAACCGGCUGAGCCA
rnacentral:sRNA from 16 species